rnacentral:rRNA from 1 species
GAUGAACGCUAGCGGCAGGCCUAAUACAUGCAAGUCGAACGGUGUCUUCGGACAUAGUGGCGCACGGGUGCGUAACACGUAUGCAACCUACCUUACAUUGGGGAUAGCCUUUCGAACGGGAGAUUAAUACCGCAUAAGACAGUAGCUGGGCAUCCAGCAGCUGUUAAAGAUUUAUCGAUGUAAGCUGGGCAUGCGUCCAAUUAGCUAGUUGGUGAGGUAACGGCUCACCAAGGCAAUGAUGGGUAGGGGAACUGAGAGGUCAAUCCCCCACACUGGCACUGAGAUACGGGCCAGAGUCCGACGGGAGGCAGCAGUAGGGAAUAUUGGGCGAUGGACGCAAGUCUGACCAAGCCGUGCCGCGUGCAGGAUGAAGGCGUGAUGCGUUGUAAACUGCUUUUAUACAGGAAGACACGACUCUUGCGAGAGGCAUUGACGGUACUGUAUGAAUAAGCACCGGCUAACUCCGUGCCAGCCGCCGCCGUAACAC